rnacentral:rRNA from 1 species
CACGUAGGGCGCAAGCGUUGUCCGGAAUUAUUGGGCGUAAAGAGCUCGUAGGCGGUCUGUUGCGUCUGCUUUGAAAACCCGGGGCUUAACCCCUGGCUUGCAGUGGAUACGGACAGACUAGAGGUAGGUAGGGGAGAAUGGAAUUCCCGGUGUAGCGGUGAAAUGCGCAGAUAUCGGGAGGAACACCAAUUGCGAAGGCAGCUCGCUGGGACGUUACUGACGCUGAGACGCGAAAGCGUGGGGAGCAAACAGG